AAUCCACCAAUUUGUACGUCACUCUGGAUAAGAGCGUCUGCUAAAUGACUUAAA
rfam:Salmo salar isolate Sally breed double haploid chromosome ssa02, whole genome shotgun sequence.